CGCCAAUCUAUCGCCACCAUAGUCCAGCGGCCGUCGUCGCUUUCCUCCCUCGCCAUCCUUCCGCCGCGAAAUAGGUAGAGAAAUGACGAGAGGAUUCUUCUUGAAUUUACCGACAGAAAACACGAUUAAUAUCCUCUCAAGGAUCUCCGUCCGAGACGUUCUGCGCUGCAAGUGUGUUUGCAAGUCGGGGCUCGAGUUACUCAACUCUCGCGAGUUUGUCAAGUCUCAUCUUUUUAAAUCAGUGUCGGGGUUGGCUGUGGUACGCUCUGGUGUGGAGUCUAACUCAUACGAAAUCUUUGAAUUUCAAGACAGCCUUGACCUUGAGCACCAUAAUCUCCGCUACAGUUUGGUCACCAAGUUUGUUUUUCCUCGUGCUGAAGCGCUUCGGGGUUCAGCUAAUGGGUUGGUUUUUAUGACGGGUGACAAAGUUUGGAAUGGAAGACUUAUAUUCUUUCUGACCGCGAAGCUUCUUCUUGUUGGACUGAUUUCCGUAGCACUAUGAGCUUUUAACUUAAUGUAGGUAGUAUAUUUGCUUUAUAUGUUUAUGCUCUAAUAUGCUCAGACUUUGUGCUGCUGCUAGAUGCUUUUUUUAGUUUUAAUGUAGCUGAUCAACUCUCUAAUGUAGCAUGGUUUACUAUUACUGUCUUGUGAGAUA